ensembl:lncRNA
UGUGUUUGUGUGUGCCUGUGUCAGCACCUUUCUGGAUGUAAGCACGGUGACCCUGGAACAAAUAGAAUGUACUGCUUUACACACUUACCCUGUGCUGUAAAGUUUUAAUCAAGCACUGACAUAUCCUGAGCCAUUUACCCCAGACCCUGGAGGGGUGAAAGGAACCACAGGAACACAAGGCUGGAAGAGAUCUGGAGGGGUUGACUGGUCCAUCCUCUUGCCCCAGGGCCAGCCUCAAGAACUCCCCAGCACAUCUCUGUGUGAAUUCAUUCCUUAAAACUACCUUGAAAUGGAACAUCCACCACCUCUUCAGGUAAUCUGUUCCACUGCUUCUAAUGUCCGAACUAUCUAAGAGGAUUUUGCUAAUAUUUAACAUGAUAAACUUCCUGGAGUUUAACCAUACAGAAAAAUAACUAAGCAGGGCGAGGCAAAAAUGAUGGGGAUAAAGAGGUUGGUGUGAAAAGGGGAGCUGGAUGAAGAAAAGAAAUAUUUUAACUGGAAAAUUUACUUGGGAGGAAGUGAAUGUCAAGAGGAAAGGCCAUGCAGAGGAGGACAUGUAGCUCCCUGCACAAGGCUGUAAGAAAACAUUUUCUUGGGGGAAGGAAGAAAGUCUCUGAGAGAAAGAAUUUUCCUUUCAAUGUUUUUCCCUUUCCACUUUUAUGUUCUCUAUACUUUCUUACUUUUGCACUUUUCCAUGCUUCUCAGUAUUCCACUUUCCAACUGUGCUGUAGGGUUUUUUUCCCCUAUAGUUAGAGGUUUUUGUUUUUUUCUAUACGUUUUAUUGCCCAAACAAUGCAUUCAAUUUUCAGGAUGCAGUAUGCUCAGGGAAUUUCUGAGGCCAAACCAGCACCAGUGACUGUAGAGGAAUGCAUAUUCCAAUUGAAAAAAAAACAAAAAAAAACAAAAAAACAAAACAAAAAAAACCCCACCAAAUUCAGACAUCUUUCUCUGCUUGUACAUAUUAAUACCUACUUACACAUUGUGAAAAACUCAGGAAAGAAAAUUUUAACAAAUCUUACAUAUUUCACAUACAAACUUGCUUUUGAAAGGUUUUUUAAUUUUCUUAACCCUCUCAACACCUCCCUGAGACAUUGGCAGUCCUUCUUUAAAUGAAUUUAUAAGAGCAACACAGGUGGAUAUAAAAGGAAAAAAGAGAAAUGAAAUUACAUCAUAGAGGAAAUGCUGCUAAGAAAAUAUGUCUCAGUUUGUUGUUAUCAGGCAUGUGGUGUGAGACAAAAAUAAAGUUUCUUUAUGACUUUGACCUCUCAAAUGUUGCAGUGACAUUGUAAUUUAAUCAUAAGCUAAUAAUUUACCAAUUCUCUACUUUUGAGUAACAGAGAGCCAUUGUGAGAACAGCAGCGAAUUCUCAGCUCUACUGUGUCUUCAUCAGGGCUAUAAAAACUUUUUACAAAAGACCACAAGAAAACCAAUGAGGUGAUCACACACAAUAGGAGAGCUGAAGUUAUCAAUACAGUAAAUUACAAUAAUUGUAUUUGCAAAUUGAGCAGCAUUACAAUAACAAUAACUAUAAAAUCCCAAAAAGAUACUUGAUGCUCUUGAGUAAUUACAUGCAAUUAAUUUGUAUCUAAUUCCAGACUCUGGCACGCUCUAGCCUAGCCUUUCUCAGAAAUACUUGCUGGCAAUGAAAAAAUAAGACACUGCCCAGGCCACCUCUGUUGGGAAAGCUUUGUGUUAUGCAAGAAGGGUUCAGAUCUGGCAAAGGGAAACCUCUGAAGGAUCCCAGUUUGUCCCUUGCACAGUGAUAACAGCAUUUAUGAGAUGAUUCUGUCGAGGUCUUUGGCUCCACCUCCUCCCAUCCCUUCUGCUGCCUCGAGCUGAGCUGUGCCCCCUCAGCAGCGUGGACACAAUUAUUUGGCACUGGCCAAACCAAGACAGGGAGGAGAAGACCUUCUGCAAUCUUAGCUAAUGUUUUCCUUUCCCACGCUGAUCAGUGAGGAGCAGGAGAAUUUGAUCCUCCUCUCCCCAGCCGGCGGAAUGUUUGUCACCAAAUUUUUAUACUCCCACAUCUUAAUUGAAGAAAGGAGCUAAGGAUUAUUUCUGGACCAUAGCUCUUCUUUUGGCUAGUUCUAGGGAGGUUUGUGCAGACCUCCAGAGACAAAGAAAAGUAAACAAAUGAAACAGAGGGAGAAAGGAAGAAUGUGGGGACUUUGGAGAGAGACUUUGGACUUUUUAAUGUCCAAAAGUAAGAACAAAUCAAAGUACAAGGGCUUGGUUUUAUGAGCAUAUAUUUUUGACAAAUGUAUAUAAUUCAUUAAUAAUCUAUAUGUCUUGGCACAAAGUUCUAUGUUAUAUCUCACUAUGGAUAUUGAUUUUCAUCUACUUUGCCCUGUACAUGUUCAGUUUCAACUUUAAAAGGAAGAAAGGGAUUGAGGCAGAGAACAGUGAAAUGAGAAAGAGGAUAACAGACACUUUUGCUGCUUUGCUUCAUGAUACACUGACCUAGCGAUGGCUGAGAUGAUCAUCUUAGUAUACAUUGAUUAUUUUUUUAAAUUCAACCACUGUCAGACACAAGGAAAAGUUAUGUGUCUCUGUGUUCAGACAGACAUUCCGGGUGUACCAGUGGACAGGCUAGAUUGGUUUGGGGGCCACUACCUGUGGAAAAAAGUGUGAUGAAAAUGUAUACUGACCUACAGAGAUGUUGGAAGAGAGGGACUUCUACCCUAAACUCCUGCUAGGCUAAGCAGGAGGAAAAGGGAUUCCCCUGGGGCAGAAAGGGUGGCACCUCUGCAGGCUGCAGUGCUCAGAGUGUGACAGGGCUCUGUGCAGGCAGCUGCCUGUCUGUGCUCCCCGGCUGGAUUUCCAUAUGAAAGGUGUGUGCUGCCAGAUCCAAAAUCACAAGCAUCAGUUGUUGUUUGCUGUUAUUAUAAGCAGCUCCACACUGCUUUUCCUCUUGGGCAAGAGUGUGUGCAUCUGUGUGUGUACACACAUAUAUAAAUCCACAUGUGUAGAGGUAUGCAGAUCAUAUAAAUAAAACCAAUACCAUCUACAAGCUUGGCUUUGAUGUUCACGCAGUGAAACAAGGAGUUUUAUUUGGAGUAGCUGGUGAAUAAAUAUUGUUGAAGGCAUCACAUAACAAGCGAACUUGAAACUCCUUGUCGAGGCAGCGUUGAGGCUCAGUAUAAUUAGGUCAGUGUUAUAGCUAAGGGGAGGAGGAGCCAGCCCUGAAUGAUGCAAAAUCCUGAACCUUUCAAUUAAGAAGCUUUUUCUGUGGGGGUAACUGAGCAUCACCUCUGUCUGAUGUUGAGGAAGGUCUGUUCAAUGUUUAAGGUUUUCCUGGAGGCAUCUGUAAAAGACAAAGCUGUGACCUGUCAUUCUCUGCUUGCUUGGAGUAAACUAUCCAAAAGCAGUUCAGAUGCAGAAAUGACUGCCUGAGUGGAAGAAAUGGUGGGUAGAGGGUAAAUCUCCCCGAAAUAGAGAGCAGUUAACUGCAGCAGAGCAUCAGCUUGCAGGUUUUUACAUUCUAGCAUAUGCAUCAGACGCUCCUGGGAAGGGUGACACUCAGAAAAGAAGUUGUAAUUAUUUGUUUUGGGAUAUUAAGUUAUGUGUUAAAGAACACAUGUGCCUUGGGACUUCUAACUCUAACAGCUACUUAAAUUUCGGUAAACGGAGUGAACAAAUGAACCGAGUGAAAAUGAGAAGGAAGCUUCUGACUCACAUCCUCUCUCUCCUGACUGUAAUAAGAAAUGUCUUGAAAGCAAAAUCUAUUAUUUUAUGUUAUCAAUAACCUGCCUAUUGAGUUUAUGACAGAGUUAUUUACCUCCACGUGAUUGUUAAGGAGGGGUUGGGGACAGAAAAGCAUGCAAUUUUUUGGAGAUGUUUCAAAAAUUUGAUUGUGUGCAGAUCAGAAUGAAGCUGUGCUAAAAUGAAACAAAGUAUAACCUGAGAGAACAUUAAUGAUAGCUGCAAGACGAGGGAAUUAACUUGGCAGGUCAGAGACCCAGACAAGAAUCCCCAAACUUCUUGCAAAACCUUUGUCUCAAAAUUCAUACCUUUUGGCCAAAAGUUGUGAUUUUGACAAAGCAGCUCUUUUCAGCAAAGGUAUUUUAACCAGCUCACCAACAUGUUAAUUUUCCCUCUUCUCAUUCUCCGCUUGACUUCCUCCAGUGCUUUGGGUUGCAAUGCCAGAACAGCAGCAAUCAAUAGCCCAGAAAAUUGUAGUAUUGCAUGUCUCCGUAAUGACUCGAAUGCUGGUAUCUGUGUUCACUUCUUAUCUGGCUGUGAUGAUGCCUCCUGAUUGGAAAAGAGGGGCAUUUGCAACAAAGCUCCUCUGAAAUGAUCCUCCCAAUGUGUGUGUGAGGCAGCUGGGAGCCUUGUGAUAACAAGUCAAUCUUCACUUUCUCAUUGUCUUGGUUCAGGUGAGUCUCUCACCUGCCCAGAGGACUUGGCAGAGGAGUUUCCUCCACUUGGCUCUAGAAAAGAGGAUAAGAGGGACAGGGUUCUUCUUCUGGGCUAGGAAACUAUUACUCCACAUUGUCUGAGGGAUUUUUAAGUCCCAUCCAUUUAGUCAGUGAGAUGGAAAAUUUUGAAAUGUGAUUACCUGGAGAUUACCAUGAAAUGUGAAUAAAUGUGAAAUGCACAAGUGAAACGUUGAUUGUGGCUCCUUGUAUUUUCCUGUCAGGUCUUGCAGAUGCAAUGGGAUUUAUGGUGGAGUUCUCUCUCUGAAUAAGAUCUCUCCACAUCUCUGUCUCCUGAACUAUUGUAUUCCCUGGUUUCCAGUUCUGUAAUAUCCAAAAAGUACAGUA